AUUUAAGUAGCUUAAAUUUAGAGCGUUAUAUUGAAGAUAUAAAAGUAGAGAUAUUAUCUCUUAGAUA
rnacentral:tRNA from 1 species